rnacentral:rRNA from 1 species
UGGUGGAGUGAUUUGUCUGGUUAAUUCCGUUAACGAACGAGACCUCAGCCUGCUAAUUAAUUUCAACAAGGUUGAUUGUUAAAGUAUCUUAGAGGGAUUCUCGGUUAUUAAUCGAUGGAAGUCUGAGGUAAUAACA